rnacentral:rRNA from 1 species
GAUUUCUGGUUGGAUGCGCCUGGCCCGCCACGGUUUCGUGUGUGAGUGCUGGUUUGUGUGUCUGCCAUCCUUCUAGUGCGCCCUCUCCUCUUCAUUGAGGUGGAGGACGCGUCACUAGAUCUUUUACUUUGAAAAAAUUAGAGUGUUUAAAGCAGGCAUGCCGCUAUGAAUACAUUAGCAUGGAAUAAUAAUUUAGGACUUCGGUUCUAUUUUGUUGGUUUCUAGGACUGAAGUAAUGAUUGAUAGGGAUAGUUGGGGGUGCUAGUAUUCAGUGGCCAGAGGUGAAAUUCUCGGAUUCCCUGAAGACUAACUUAUGCGAAAGCAUU